ACUCGUGAUAACAGUAAACAAUAGUAAAUAAUCAUAUUGCAAAAUUUAAAUUUUCUUUCUUGUACAACAAAAUUGGCGUGGAAAAAAUAAUGGGACAAAUUCAUAAUGACAUCUAUACAAAUACAAAUAAUUUAUCCAGUGAUAAGCAGUUGUCUGAAAGUGAUAAGAACCGUUUUUCGGUAACGCGGCCCGGUCGCAUAUUAACAUAUUAUACUGCACACGAAAUAAUAGCC